rnacentral:rRNA from 1 species
CCCUUAGAUGUCCGGGGCUGCACGCGCGCUACACUGUAGAAAGCAGCGUGCUUUAAAACCUUUCCUGAAAAGGAUGGGUAACCCCAGCAAAAUUCUACGUGCUUGGGAUAGAGAUUUGCAAUUUUCUCUCUUGAACGAGGAAUUCCUAGUAAGUGCAAGUCAACAGCUUGCGUUGAUUACGUCCCUGCCCUUUGUACACACCGCCCGUCGCUACUACUGAUUGGAUGUUUAAGCGAGGUUCUCGAACUGCUAGUGACUGAUCUUCGGUGAGGUCGCAGUGUGGGAAGUGAACCUAGCUUUGGUGUCUAGAGGAAGUAAAAGUCGUAACA